rnacentral:rRNA from 1 species
CCUACGGGAGGCAGCAGUGGGGAAUUUUGGACAAUGGGCGCAAGCCUGAUCCAGCCAUGCCGCGUGAGUGAGGAAGGCCUUCGGGUUGUAAAGCUCUUUCGGACGGAAAGAAAUCGCGCAGGCUAAUACCCUGCGCGGAUGACGGUACCGUCAUAAGAAGCACCGGCUAACUACGUGCCAGCAGCCGCGGUAA